rnacentral:rRNA from 1 species
AACGCGAAGAACCUUACCUGGGUUAGAAAACACGCGAACCUGGUAGAAAUAUCGGGGUGCUCUUCGGAGAACGCGCGGUUAGGUGCUGCAUGGCUGUCGUCAGCUCGUGUCGUGAGAUGUUGGGUUAAGUCCCGCAACGAGCGCAACCCUUAUCCCUAGUUGCCAUCGGGUCAAGCCGGGCACUCUAGUGAAACCGCCCCGGAUAACGGGGAGGAAGGUGGGGAUGACGUCAAGUCCUCAUGGCCUUUAUGUCCAGGGCUACACACGUGCUACAAUGGUCGGUACAAACCGUCGCAAACCCGCGAGGGGGAGCUAAUCGGAAAAAGCCGACCUCAGUUCGGAUUGGAGUCUGCAACUCGACUCCAUGAAGCUGGAAUCGCUAGUAAUCGCGGAUCAGAACGCCGCGGUGAAUACGUUCCCGGGCCUUGUACACACCGGAGUA